UAGGGGGUUAAUCUUUUAUUGCCGGCUGGCUGUGUGGCAGGUUCCCGUAGACACCUACAGCCCUCAGCGAGGGGGCGGUGACCCCCUUGAUGACGUCACUCAGGCGCCUGCAGCAAUGGAAGGUCCCGCGCCGGGACGGGCAGGUGUGCGAUUUGGAACUGGAGGGAACCGCUCUGUCCGAGCCCGGCCGGGUACCCGGAGGGGAAGGACGGACUACGCUUCCCGACGCCCCGUGCGGCGGACGACCCCGGGCGAGUCCUCCCGCCGUGGCGCGGCCUUCGCGACAGCGGCCGCUCCUUCCUGCGGGACCGUGGUUCUUCCCGGCAGCUGGCCGCGCUUGCGGCGGUCGGUCGGUCUCUCUGCCAGGCCCUCCCUGCGGCCCGAAGCCCUGGCUGGGGCGCAGCCGGUGACCCCAGUCACGGACGGUAGCAGGCCGCUCCCAAAUCUCAAGUCUAUACCCCUUGAGAGGGGAAAAAACAAAACUCCUCCCCCUGGCCGCAAUUCCUGGGUGAAUUCGGGCCCUGGUCCUCGGCUUGGACCGCAGGUCUUCACCUUAUCCCCCGGCAGCAGAAUUCUCUCCUUAACGAUCCCAGCUCGUUGCCGUAUCACUGCCUGGCUCAGAAACUUCCCGCGGCUUCCCAACGUCCAAAUUCUUAGCAUUCGAUACGAGCAUUGUAUGUGCUACCUAGACACCCAGACUUCACGGGCUUUUUCCAAAAUGUUCAGUACGGACACUGCGACGGGAAACGGCCCUCCCCAGAGAGCAGUCUGGUUCCUCUACAAAUACCGCACCCCUGCCCCUUCUUACACAAUCUGUGGCUGCCACUUGCUGUGGAGCAAGGGACCAGGGCUCCGGACCUGACAGCCAGAUUUCCUGUCGUUGACACCUAAGGCGGCCCAGUACCUGACGGAUCCAUUUACCCCUGAGCGGAAAACAAGACGAGCAGCAGUGCAGCGGGAAGCAGAUGUACCUCGGAAGACCGUCGUGUGACCCAUUAGAGAAAGGGGAGAGCAGACUAUGUCUGCGUCCUGAUGACUUUCCAUCUCUGGCUUCUGAUCCAGACAAACGUGUCUUAACAGUAACUUCCCUUUUAUUUAAGGUUUCCCAAGUGAGUGUUUUUUUCCCAGGUUAUUUGAGUGGAAGAGGCACCAGCUUACCCUCCAGCCUUAUCUCCCUCUACAUUGCCCUCCACACCCACAGUGCACCUGCUGUUGCUGGAACUCAGAACGCUCACUGCUGCCUUUCUGCCUUUGUCUUUUGGCCCGUUUCUACCCCUUGCCUGGAACACCUUCCUCCCAGGGCUACUGGUUGUCAUCCACCAAGUAAUCCUUCCAGGUCCCACAUUUUAUUCCACAACCUGAAGUGACACCUACCUUCUUUUCUGCCCUUUAGCACCGACUGAUCUUUUGUUGUUGUUUUUUAAUUUCUUAAACGUUUAUUUAUUUUUGAGAGAGACAGAGCACGAGCAGAGGAGGGUCAGAGAGAGAGGGAGACACAGAAUCCGAAGCAAACUCCAGGCUCCGAACUGUCCGCACAGAGCCUGACGCCCGACGUGGGGCUCGAACUCACGAACCGCCAGAUCAUGACCUGAGCUGAAGUUGCUCAACCGACUGAGCCACCCAGGCGCCCCCUGACUGAUCUUUUUGUAACCCCGCAUUUAGACUUGGAUUACAGUGAUUGUCACGUCUUCUGAAACCUCUCAGUUUUCCUCAUAAACCUCGUGAAGUGCUGUACACAGUAGGUACUCAGUGAAUGUCAGAGUGAAUCAAAUUUGCUGCAACUAAUUGAAGGUAAAAAAAAAAAAAAAUAAGCAUUUAACAUUCAAAACUGAAUGCGCAUUUUCUCCUUUUCUCAAACCAUUCCUGAAGACGUUCAAAGAAACAAACGUUUUGUUCGUAUAACGUAGGGUAGACAAACUCUACAAAGGGCCACAUAAUAACUAUUUUAGGCUUUUGGGGGCCACGUAGAUCUACUGCGUAUUUGUCAUUAUUUUUUGGUUUUUAAAGAAUCAUUUAAAAAUGUAAAACUUGGGGUGUUUGGCUGGCUUAGUCCAUGAAGCAUGCGACUCUUGAUCUUGGGGUCAUGAGUUCAAGCCCCAGGUCAUGUACAGAGAUUACUUAAAAAUAUAUAUUUUGAGGCACCUGGUGGCUCAGCUGGUUAAGCAUGUGACUUUGGCCUAGAUCAUGAUCUCGGCAUUCGUGAGUUCCAGCCCCGUGUGGGACUCUGUGCUGACAGCUCAAAGUCUUAACCUGCUUUGGAUUCUGUGUCUCCCUCUCUCGCUGCCCCUCCCCCUCUCACGCUCUGUCUCCCUCUCUCUCUCUCUCUCAAAAAUAAACAUGAAAAAAAAAAUAAAUUAAGGCUUUUAAAAAAAAUGUAAAACUCAUUCUUACCUUGCAAGCUGAACAAAACCACAUGUUAUACGUGGUGAUGGAAACUGAUGUAGGGCCACUGAUUGAGGAAUGCCGAAAAUUACAUUUUUCCUCUUUCCCCCAUUUCCCACAGCCACACCUGUCUCAUUGUUGUCAUGGAAAAAAGCCAGCAAACGUCUACACUACAGAAAGUGGCGAGCAGUGAAUUUGGAACCACAUACCUGCCUUUAAAUUGUCAAGUGAGUGGCCUAUUUGAGCCGGUGUUUUCUUAUAAAGGAUUACCUGUCAUUUAGGGGAAAAGCAACCAGGACAGAUCCAAAUCCAUAGGAUCUAUGAAGCAGAGAGUAGUUAGUAACAAGUUAUCGAUGGUAUCCAUUUCGGAAAACAAAUAUGUCUUUAGCUUACUUGUAGAAACCUAAUUUGUGGUCUCUUGGGUUUGGUUUUGUUUUUUUUUUUAAUCAUUUUUUCAUACCAAAUUUACAAGAAAAACAUUGCAUUUUUCUGUCCAAGCGUCCUCAGGCCUGGAGGGAUGUCUAGAUUCUGGCUUCUGAUGUGGGGGCUCCCUUGUACAUGUGGAGCCCAGUCGGUUGUUUAGAGGAACUGACUCAAAGGCUCAGUUCUUGCCUCACGACCUCCCGGAUACUCAGUAACGUCUCCAAACUAAAGCUUUAGAAUGUAACAUAAUUCGGAGGUUAGUUACACUGAUGACUUAAUUCAUUAAUGUAGUCUUCCCCUGAAAUGGUUAAUAGAUUUGGUCUAGAAGCCAAGGAGAUUUUUAUCAUAUGAACUCAAAACAGAAAGAUACUUGUUCUUUGCAAGUUCCUAUGUUUUGCUUUACGAAGAGCUAUUCCUUCAUCUUAUGUGCUUCUGCAUAAUAAAAAUAAACCACAUUAUGUCUUUUAAAAUCCCUGGGUAUGUUUCAUGGAGUGGUUUCCAGCUCUGACAGUUUAUAAUUCAGACAGCAUCUGAUGAAGUUAAUUUCUGGACCUGUGAUGUCAUGCUAACAAAUGGCCACCAGAUGUCAGUCUUUCCUUGUGUUUUUAGACACAAAUGGACUUUGGAACCACAUUUAAGGUUCUAUUUGUGUGGCAUCCUCAGCGGAAGGCACUUUUCAGGGAGCAUCUGCCCCCUCACAGUCCACCACGCAUGGUCCUAAGCUCCCUUUGCUCCGGUGUCACUUACGUCCUGGGUUACGGCAGUGACUUGUCCCCACGGGCCACUACUCGGCCCUGGGCCCUCGCUUAGAGCCCAGCUCCCACCCUCGAAGUGAUGCAGAGUUGGGGGGAAACGCGGCCGCUUUCUGGAAGAUGGAGCUUGCUCAGAAAGCCGAAGAACCCAUUUUUCAAGACAAGCAUCAUUGGGAGGAGAAUGCAGAACCCAUGUGAGUGUUAAUGAUGAAGCAUGACUUUAAAGGACUUUCACGCUUGUAUAAUCCUUUCCACGGGAGUUCAGGCUCACUCCCCUCGUGGGGUGUUCUGUGAACACCAGGCAGCAGUAAACCGUUUGUCCUGAGUCGCUUCUGGGGAUUUGCAGAGGGAGGUUGCGGUCUCGGGGGCAAGGGAGAGAGGCUUCCCUCAGGGAGGGCUGGUGGGCGGGGUGCGACCCACCCACCCCAAAGGAGAGGGAGGGAGGGUGGGAGGGGGCUGUGGGAUGGCCCACCCCAAGCCAGGCACAUGCCCUGGUAUGAUUCCAAGGGGACCCACUCCUGAGGCUGUGGGAAGUGGGGCGCGCGGGGAGUGAGCCGCGCUUUCGCGGGCGGGGGACAAAAGGUGAGGGUUUUCUGCCCACUGGAUAUCGUGGGCCUCUUGGUGGAAGCCGCCGGGGACCCAGAGGGUGGCCCGAGGGAGGCGAGCUGCCUGGCAGGUGUUCCCAAUGCCACGGCCAAGGCAGAGUGGAAAGCAGGCAGCUGGACGUCCAACGUGGCUCCUCCGCCACCAUCAGAAGCACUGCCGCUGGGAAGGGUCCGCUUGGGCCCCCUCCUGGGUCUUGUACCAGCCGCAGACCACGGCAGGGCAGCGGCCCAACAGCGUCAGGUUUUCCGAGGCAUUCGAGAACUCCCUGGCCCCCCGGCCCCUGGCGUGCAACUACCUUCUCCCGGUUGACUGUCAGCUGCAGGGGCCUGGCCCAGAAGACCCUCUGUGCUCCUCACUUGUCCCCCCAGGGAGCAGAGAGGAGCCCCAGGGCACUGAGGGGUAGGGAGCUCCCGCCUCCCAGCCCCACCCCUCCUCCCCUGCUACCCGCCCUGCGGUACUGGGACCCUUGAGCUGGGCCUGCUGGGCUCCUGCUGCUGGGGACCCGCAGACUCUGCCCAGAGGCUGCUCCUCAGCAGUGGGAGGAGGGAGAAGGGCCUGGGCCUCCCUUUUCAUACUGGCGGAUUCCAGGCCCUGUCAGUGUCUCUGCCUCGCUUUGCCCUGGGCCACAUCUGAGUCCUCGGAGAGUCCCUUCCCAGACCCACAGGGCCCCUCCUCCCACAUCUGAACCUGAGCUCCAGGGGACGUCCUCCAGGCGUCCGUUCUUGCAGGUUCUGUCCUUUGCCCGAGGUCGCCUGCAGCCUGCGGGGUGGCAGGUGCCUCUGGCAGCACCGAGGUCCCCGUCCUGAAAGGAGGGGACUGCCCCCCCCCCCCAAAGCCUGCUUGUCCACAUCACACUCUGACCCCGAGCUGAGCAGCCUGUGAACCCAAGUCACCGCAGAACCAACCACGAGGGACCGUACCUUCUCUGCCUGGAGGGCCCAGGCCCUGGCUGCAGCAGAGAAAAAGGCUGCCAGGCCUCCCCCCUCCCCCACCCGGCCUGGCCUCCCCCUCCCCCAGCCUCCCUGGGGCAUCCCAGCACAGGCUAGAGCUUCGCCUGUGGGAGAAGUCAAGCCCAAGACAGGAGGUGAGCGGCCAGCAAGCUGUGCUGGGCUUCGUGUGGACGGAGACGCCUGCGAGGCCACGGGCCCAACAGGGGGUCCAGGGUACCAGGGGCCCCAGACAGCCCGCGCCGCGGGGACCGGCGACAGAGAGCUCGCUCCCCUCCACGGCCGCCACUACCGUCCGGGGACCGGCAGCCCCUGGACGGCCCAGGAGCCCCCCACAGCCAGCUCCCGCCCUUCACCCCCAGCCGAGAUCGGUGUCCAGCUGUCCAUGAGGACGACACUGCCGACAGGAGAGAGGCGGACAGGCUCUGGAUCGAUGCACCGUCUCCCUCUCUGCCAGAAACAGGAUUUGGACUCCUCUCCACCGUCGCCAAGGCUCCCCGGGCUCCGGUCCACGGAGCUUCGUGCCACGUGACCCCACAGUCCUCCAGAUCUGGCCGGCCCUCUGCCUCACCCGGUCUCAGCCCAGAUGUUACCUGCUCAGACCUUCCAGGCCCCUGUGCCCCCCCCCCCCAACACGGCUCCUGCGUUUUCCUUCCCCACAGUAGCCCCGUUCUCCCAGGAGGAAGAUGAAUGUGAGAUGUGAAGGGGCCUCGCUGUGUCCACGCCGGGCCUUGUCCGCUGUCCUCCCUGGACGGGGGGCGGAGGGGCAGCCGCCCCCCCAGCCCCUCUCCGCCUCCCCCGGCUCUUCUCCGUCUUCGGCGCUUCCUGCAACUGUACCUUAGCAGGGGCCUCUUCCCUGCUCACCUGCAGGUGCCCUGAGACCAGACCCAGAGACCACGCUUCGUCCACCUUCUUUCUUCCCUUCCCUGGCACUCGUUCAUCACGCGGCAAACGUCACCGAAUGACCGCAUGCACCAGGCACACGGCGCCUCGGAGAGGGGAGGCCGGACACGGCCCUGCCCUCGGGCCGCUCGCUCCCCGGCUUCCUGCGCAGCCCCUUUGUCUGCCUGGACCCUCCUCAGCGACUCGCUCCUUACAGGCGCCCGCACCGCAGGCCCAGCCAGCUUCCAGCACCUUCCAGCGCCAAGACCUGCUACGCAAUUUGCGUGGCCCAGUGCAAGAUGAAAAUGCCAGGCCCUGUGUUCAAACGUACUGAGGCUUCGAAGGCACCGACAGCAAAGCGCCCUUCGUGAUUCCGGUUACACAGGAGCUCUCCUGCCCGCCCACGCUGGAUGUCUGUCCUCUCUCCUGGGGCCAUGGACAUAAGACCCGAGGGAGCCCUGGGACACCUGCCGAGUGACCCCAAGAGGAGCCUGAGAAUGGAAUGUUCCUAAGAGGGAACGCUGGGGGAAAGGCGGCUUUGGGAGCAGCUGACCUCACAGGAUUUUUAGGCAGAUGGAGUGACCACGUGUGACCUGGGGGACAACGGACUCGAUAUCAAGGGGGUCAGACCUAGAGGGUGGGGGAUUCUGGGCAAACACUUGGCAGGACUCUUGAGGACAACGCAGAGAUGAGCAUGCAAGCCAGAAGGCGGGGCCUGGCCGAGCAGAGGGUCAGAGCCUGGCCAACGCUGGGUCAGGAGAGACUGUCACGAUGGGAGGCAGCUACUGUCACGGGGCUCUGGUCCCCACCACAGCACACCUGCCACCAGGCCUCCUCCGGGAUGCCUCCUUGAGGAGGGCUCUCACUCCCAGAGAAAACGGACCUGCGCCAGAGUGAGAGCCGAGGCCUGGUGAAGGGGUCUCUGCUCCGAGGAGGUCCCCCAGGGCGUUUCCACAUCAGACGCCUGAAGGAGUGAAGAAGCAGUCAUCACCAAAGAGUUGUUGAAAGGAUCAAUGAGCACAUGAAUAUGUGGAUAUUCAUCUGAAUAAAAGUAUAACCUUGUGAGAUUAAACACCGGGAGCUCCGGCAAUCACACUCCUUGGUAUUUAAACAAAUGACUUGAAGACGUAUAUCCAUGAGAAAGCCUGCACACAUGUUUACAGCAACUUUAUUACAAAUUGUCAAAACUUGGAGGUAACCAAGAUGUCCCUCAGUAGGCGAGUAGAUAAACCGGGGUCCAUCCAGACAGUGGAAUAUUAUUCGGCACUAAAAAGAACUGAGCUGUUGAGCCGUGAAAAGACAGAGAAGAAUCUUAAAUGCGUAUUUUUAAUUUUAUUUUUUUAAGUUUAUUUAUUUAUUUUGAGAGAGAAGGACAUGAUCGGGAAGGGGGCAGAGAGAGACGGAGACAGAGAAUCCCAAGCGGGCUCCGUGCUGUCAGCACAGAGCCUGACGUGGGGCUCGAACUUACACAUUGUGAGAUUGUGACCUGCGCCGUAAUGAAGAACAGG